CAGAGUAUAGUCUAGGUAGUCAGGCACCUCACUUACACCGAGGAAACAUCCAUGCAAGUUGGAUUGCUCUGA
rnacentral:tRNA from 1 species